AAAAUGCGAUAAUUAAUGUGAAUUGCAGAAUUCAGUGAAUCAUCGAGUCUUUGAACGCACAUUGCGCCCCCUGGUAUUCCGGGGGGCAUGCCUGUCCGAGCGUCAUUGCUGCCCUCAAGCACGGCUUGUGUGUUGGGCUUCCGUCCCUGGCAACGGGGACGGGCCCAAAAGGCAGUGGCUGCACCAUGUCCGGUCCUCGAGCGUAUGGGGCUUUGUCACCCGCUCCCGUAGGUCCAGCUGGCAGCUAGCCUCGCAACCAAUCUUUUUAACCAGGUUGACCUCGGAUCAGGUAGGGAUACCCGCUGAACUUAAGC
rnacentral:misc_RNA from 1 species